rnacentral:rRNA from 1 species
AGUGAACGCUGGCGGUAGGCCUAACACAUGCAAGUCGAACGGCAGCACAGUAAGAGCUUGCUCUUACGGGUGGCGAGUGGCGGACGGGUGAGGAAUACAUCGGAAUCUACUUUUUCGUGGGGGAUAACGUAGGGAAACUUACGCUAAUACCGCAUACGACCUACGGGUGAAAGCAGGGGACCUUCGGACCUUGCGCGAUUGAAUGAGCCGAUGUCGGAUUAGCUAGUUGGCGGGGUAAAGGCCCACCAAGGCGACGAUCCGUAGCUGGUCUGAGAGGAUGAUCAGCCACACUGGAACUGAGACACGGCCCAGACUCCUACGGGAGGCAGCAGUGGGGAAUAUUGGACAAUGGGCGCAAGCCUGAUCCAGCCAUACCGCGUGGGUGAAGAAGGCCUUCGGGUUGUAAAGCCCUUUUGUUGGGAAAGAAAAGCAGCAGGUUAAUACCCCGCUGUUCUGACGGUACCCAAAGAAUAAGCACCGGCUAACUUCGUG